rnacentral:tRNA from 1 species
AUCUGACUUGCUCAGUUGGAAGAGCAUGAAACUCUUGAUCUCAGGGUCAUGAGUUCAACCCCCAUGAUGGGUG